UAACUUUCACUUUUUGAUCACAGGGUGGGUGGCGCUGUCAGAAGAGUCCUGGACUUGAAAGCUGCCUGCAAGCUGCCAAGUGGCAAAGGAUCCAGGAAAAGGCACAGGAUUGGAAAGUGCUACCCAGCAAUCUGUGUAUUCUGCAAUUAAGAAGGGGGGCUGACAGUGAACUUGGCCUUGCUGCCCUAGCCCUUCACUACUCAGAACAGCAGCAGCAUCACCCGGGAAUUUGUCAGAAAUGCAGAAUCUCGGGCGCCACCCUGGACACACGUGAAUCAGAAUCUUCCUUUUAACAAGAACCUGCAGUGAUUCAUACGUACAUUAAAGUCUGAGAAGCGCUGCCUCAGAGUCCUGCUCUCAGACCUUUCUGCCCACUUUCCCUGGGGUCUCUGGACUGGUGGCAGCAAUGGUGGGAACGAGCCCAGCUUUUGUCCCUGACAGGUCUCCUUCAGGCUUCGGAACCUUUGGAAUCACCCUUCCCCGGCAGCACGGACUGGUCCUGAAGUGGCCCCAGCUCUCAAGUCUGACUAUUUGGACUGGUCAGACUCCUGGGCAGUCAGAGGAGAUGGGUGGACUGGAGGCGUUGGGGCUUGGCCAGGACUGAGAAGACACCAGGCACAUCCUCUCUCCAGCACCCCCACCUGGAGUUGCAGAAACAGCCCCAGAUCAGUGACUCUCAGUGUCACUUGCUGUUCUGGACAUUUGAGUUUCUGGCGUUGGGCAGGGCAGUCCCUCCUGCGUGGGGGACCUGGGUGCAGUUUGAUGGGCACUAGCAGGGGAUGUUUGACACGCCCAUGGUAGCUCCUUUCUCCCUGAUCAUGCUCCUCGCUCCUGACCCUCUUUGGGGAACGUUUAUUCCCCAGGUGUUCAGGGACCUCCCGGGAAGGAAGAGGCAAGAGAGCAUUGUUCUUCCUUGUAGCCUGUAGACCAGAGGGGGGUUGCAUGAGGCUCCCCAGGUGUGUGGGUCAGGGUCUGCUUUAGG